AUGCAUACUAACGACAUGGCCCCUGCAUCAUCAGUGCAUAUUCCUAGUCCUCUGGUUAUACUGUUAGCCAUCCUCCUCCUGUUGUCGACAACACUAGCAGACUACAGCACCAAUACGAGCAGAGAUGCUCUGCUCUGCCUCAAGUUCCACCUCCACGGUGCCUCCACAGCCAUGGCCACAUGGAACCACACCACCGCACCAGAUUUUUGCACCUGGCACGGCGUCUCGUGCACAAGGAGCAGGCCAAGGCAACCACCCCUCGUCGUGGCCCUGGACAUGGAGGCGGAAGGCCUCGCCGGUGAGAUCCCACCCUGCAUCUCCAACCUCACUUCUUUGGUAAGAAUCCAUUUGCCCAACAACAGCCUCUCCGGUAAUAUCCCACCGGAACUUGGGCGGAUCUCCGGACUCCGGUACCUCAACCUCAGCUUCAACGCACUAAGCGGCACCAUCCCGCUCAGCAUCGGGACGCUUCACAACCUUUCUUCUCUAGACUUAGGAAACAAUCGACUCUCUGGUGAGAUUCCGUCGCGACUCGGGAGCUCACCAGCUCUAGAGUCCGUCAGUCUCCCCAACAAUCUUCUUGGCGGAGAAAUCCCACAGUCGCUGGCAAAUAGUUCCUCGUCCCUUACCACACUCUUGCUUGCACAAAACCAGUUGCAAGGAUUCAUUCCUGAUUUUGGUAAACUCUCAAGACUAGAAAUGCUUGAUCUCUCCUACAACAACCUAGUAGGGACAGUGCCACGCUCCAUUUUCAAUUCGUCGGCGUUGUACUUUCUUGGGCUGGCCAACAAUAAUCUUGGAGGAACACUGCCUUCUGACAUGGGUAACACACUUCCUAACAUCGAAAUACUGAUGAUGUCCGACAAUCAUUUUGAGGGAGACAUCCCCGCCUCACUACAAAAUGCCUCCAGCAUGACGUAUAUCCAUCUGGGCAACAACUCUCUUACUGGGGUGAUCCCUUCCUUCAGCUCCAUGCCAAACUUGAAGUACGUAAUGUUGUACUCAAAUCAGCUAGAGGCUGGAGACUGGACAUUCUUCUCCUCUUUGGCAAAUUGUACGCAGUUGGAAAAUCUAAAUGUGGAUACAAACAACUUGCGUGGGGCCUUACCAGAAGAUUCCAUAACGAAUCUGCCAAAAAGCUUGACCGCUCUAACUCUAAGUUCAAACAACAUAUCUGGCAUCAUCCCAUUGGAGAUUGGAAACAUGUCUAAUCUUUCCAUGCUCUAUCUUGAUAGAAAUCUUUUCAUGGGGCCUAUACCUGAUACCCUUGGUCAGCUACGCAAUCUGGUUGUACUUAGCCUUUCACAGAACAAAUUUACCGGGGAAAUACCACCUUCCCUUGGCAGCCUAAUUCAACUAGAAGAGCUUUAUUUGCAAGAAAAUCAAUUGAGUGGAAGCUUACCUGAAAGUUUAAGCAGCUGCAAGAAUUUGUUGGCCCUAAACAUUUCCUGUAAUACCAUUGGUGGAAGCAUAAGCGGACACAUGUUGGCCAGGUUGAAUUCAUUGAGUUGGCUACUUGAUUUAUCACACAACCAACUCGCAAUGUCCAUACCACAAGAGAUGGGUAACUUGAUAAACCUUGGUUCGUUGAACAUCUCUCACAAUAAUCUCACGGGUAGAAUCCCGUCCACUCUUGGCGAGUGUGUCCGGCUGGAAUCACUUCGCUUGGAAGGGAACCUCCUGCAAGGAAGAAUUCCACAAUCACUAUCAGGCCUCAAAGGCAUCCAACAGUUAGAUUUUUCCCACAACAAUCUAUCUGGUACAAUCCCGGAGUUCCUCGAGACCUUCACCUCGUUACAGUACCUGAAUAUGUCCUUCAACAACUUGGAAGGGCCAGUUCCCACAGGUGGAGUGUUUGCUAACAAAAGUGGUACUUUUGUCCAAGGAAACCCACGCCUUUGUGCAAACGUAGCCGUAGAAGAGUUGCCUAUGUGCUUUGCUUCGGCGUCCACAAAAAAGCAAAAGGUUGUCAUUCCAAUGAUGAUAGCUCUCUCAGCUCUUGUUGCCCUUGCUUUUAUCUUGGGGAUGUUCAGUUUCUGGUUGAAGAGGAGGUAUACAUCUAGUGAGAGAAUUGGCCAUUCACACAUGGAGCUGAAAAGGAUAACAUAUGGUGACGUCAACAAAGCAACGAAUACUUUUUCUCCGGCCAACCUAGUCGGUUCCGGGCAAUUUGGUAUAGUCUACAAAGGUUGGUUCGACGUGGAAGAUGGUACGGUUGCUGUUAAAGUCUUCAAGCUCAACCAGCAUGGCGCAUUGCAUAGCUUCAUUGCUGAGUGCAAAGCAUUGCAACACAUCCGCCACCGGAAUCUCGUGAAGGUAAUAACUGCGUGCUCAACUUAUGACCCAGUGGGAAAUGAGUUCAGGGCUCUAGUCUUUGAAUAUAUGUCCAACGGAAGCCUUGAAGACCGACUUCAUAACCACCAGUGUGGUGGCUUGAGUUUAGGCGCAGUGAUAUGCAUAUCAGUUGACAUUGCUUGUGCUCUUGAAUACCUACAUAACCAGUGCAUCCCACCGGUUGUUCACUGCGAUCUGAAACCAAGCAACAUACUUUUCGACAAUGACGAUAGUGCACGUAUCUGCGACUUUGGUUUGGCAAAGCUAAUUCAUGGUUGUUCAUCUGGAGGGCAGAGCGGCACAACAAGCAUAGUUGGACCAAGGGGGUCUAUUGGGUACAUACCUCCUGAGUAUGGUAUGGGCAGUGAAAUCUCCACUGAGGGAGACAUCUAUAGCUAUGGCAUUGUUCUUUUGGAAAUGCUAACACGGAAACGGCCCACUAAUGAAGAGUUCAGUGAUGGCUUGACACUCCCCAAGUAUGUAGAAGAAUCACUUUCACGAACCCAAGACAUUCUUCAACCCAGCCUUGCUUCGGAGACGGGAGAUCAGUGUGCUGAUCAUAUCCCAAACUUGCAAGAAUGCAACACAUUUGCGCUGAAGGAUAUAUGUGCUCUCCGUCUCCUUAAACUUGGCUUAUUAUGCUCUGCGGAAUCACCGAAGGAUCGCCCAGCGAUGCAUGAUGUCUACGGUGAAGUAACUGAAGUAAAAGAGGCAUUUUUCUCUAUGGACAACGGAAGCAAUGACCUUACAUAA
rnacentral:rRNA from 1 species